GACGAACGCUGGCGGCGUGCCUAAUACAUGCAAGUCGAACGAACGGAGGAAGAGCUUGCUCUUCCAAAGUUAGUGGCGGACGGGUGAGUAACACGUGGGCAACCUGCCUGUAAGUUGGGGAUAACUCCGGGAAACCGGGGCUAAUACCGAAUGAUAAAGUKUGGCGCAUGCCAYGCUUUUGAAAGAUGGUUUCGGCUAUCGCUUACAGAUGGGCCCGCGGUGCAUUAGCUAGUUGGUAGGGUAAUGGCCUACCAAGGCAACGAUGCAUAGCCGACCUGAGAGGGUGAUCGGCCACACUGGGACUGAGACACGGCCCAGACUCCUACGGGAGGCAGCAGUAGGGAAUCUUCCGCAAUGGACGAAAGUCUGACGGAGCAACGCCGCGUGUAUGAAGAAGGUUUUCGGAUCGUAAAGUACUGUUGUUAGAGAAGAACAAGGAUAAGAGUAACUGCUUGUCCCUUGACGGUAUCUAACCAGAAAGCCACGGCUAA
rnacentral:rRNA from 1 species